UUAGGACUAGCUGCAAUUGAGCGGGCAAGAAAAUGGCAAGCCUCCCGAGUUACAUGGUUGCGGCCUGGAGACGCGCCAACCGCCUUCUUUCAGGCAAAGAUCAACUCUAGAAAUAUAAAGAGAUUCAUCCACACUCUGCAUGGCCCUGCAGGUGUGAUCACCUCGCAGGAGGACAAGGAAGCAUUAAUCCAUGAUCACUUCAAUUCCUUGCUGGGAACGAUAGUCCACCACGACAACAUCAUCCACUGGAGCUCUAUCGAUCUGCCUCAUCUGCAUGGGAGAGGCAUGGAAAACCUUUUACUGAAGAGGAAGUAUGGCUCGUGA
rnacentral:rRNA from 1 species